GGGGCCGAUAUGGUUUCGACGGUGAUCUGUUCGCUUCGGAGAAGCGUGCCGAGAAUGUAGAGUCCGCUCGUGAUGUGCUCUGCAAUUUAAAUUAAGUGCUAAAUCUAACCGCACUGAGUUCGCUCUCGCUGCCUGAUUUUAAACGUAAUCAGAUCUAAUCCAGCGAGCGUGGCUCCGUCCGCUCUUCCGGGUCUUCGGGAAGAGGUCGGGCGUCGUUAGAGGACUUGCCUACGUCACUGAACCGCAGGGUGACGUAGGGACUUUGACUGUGGCUAGGCUCGCCAUCAGUCGUCUGCGACAUUGAUGGGGGCCGAAAAACCACCCCAGUGGUCAGCAGACUACGCACGUAGAAGUACGAGGGUACGGUCACCGGACCGGGGUUCAAUUCCCCGCGGCUCCAC
rnacentral:tmRNA from 1 species